CUGAGUUCUGCAGGUCUGAGUUCUGCAGGUCUGAGCUCUGCAGGUCUGAGUUCUGCAGGUCUGAGUUCUGCAGGGCUGAGUUCUGCAGGUCUGAGUUCUGCAGGUCUGAGUUCUGCAGGUCUGAGUUCUGCAGGUCUGAGCUCUGCAGGUCUGAGUUCUGCAGGUCUGAGUUCUGCAGGGCUGAGUUCUGCAGGGCUGAGCUCUGCAGGUCUGAGUUCUGCAG